AAUCAACGCUGGCGGCGUGCCUCAGACAUGCAAGUCGAACGCGAAAGGCUCCUUCGGGGGCCGAGUAGAGUGGCGCACGGGUGAGUAACACGUAGGUAAUUUGCCUUUGGGUGGGGAAUAACUCAGGGAAACUUGAGCUAAUACCGCAUAAUGCAGCGGCUCGACAUCGAGACAGUUGUUAAAGCGGGGGAUCGCAAGACCUCGCGCCUGAAGAGAAGCCUGCGGCAGAUUAGCUAGUUGGUAGGGUAAUGGCCUACCAAGGCGACGAUCUGUAACCGGCCUGAGAGGGCGGUCGGUCACACUGACACUGACAUACGGGUCAGACUCCUACGGGAGGCAGCAGUCGGGAAUUUUGGGUC
rnacentral:rRNA from 1 species